AGCGUUUCGCUUGCUGUGUGGUACCUCGCCGCUUCGACAUCCGUUGCAUUGGAAACAACGGAAUUCAAAGUCACAUAGGACGUUGCACGGACGCCGGCUGUGAUCGUGAUGCAUUUAUUGGAGAAAUGGAUGAAAAUGGACAUGCAAUGGAAGUAGCAUGCUGUUAUUGUCACCAUGCACGAGCCAAGCAUGCAGCACUGAGUGAAACAGGUAACCCAUAGCGCAGCUCCACUGGUUCCAAAUUUGAUGGACACAGCCAUGAGUUACCUGGCAGUAUUGUGGCAGAGGGUAUCUUGUGCCACAGAAGUACAUACGAACAGUCCAGCAGAAAUACAGCAGCAGCCCAAUCCCAGUCUAUAACUCUGCAGAGGCUCAGAGAGAUAGCAGCAAACCAGGUCCUUCCCACAACUCUCCGCAAGCUCGGGAUUCGUCGCAAACCCAGCCAGCCAGCCAUGUACGAACCUAUAUUUGCCAACAUUGUAGAUUGUCGACUAGGUAUUUCCAGUGCUUUUGUGACCACGUUGUUCAGUGUGUUGGGUGUGGCUUUCUCCCUUC